rnacentral:rRNA from 1 species
UACAGAGGGUGCGAGCGUUAAUCGGAAUUACUGGGCGUAAAGCGUGCGUAGACGGCUAUCUAAGUCGGGUGUGAAAGCCCCGGGCUCAACCUGGGAAUUGCAUUCAAGACUGAAUAGCUAGGGUACGGUAGAGGGAAGUGGAAUUUCCGGUGUAGCUGGUGAAAUGCGGUAGAUAUCGGAAGGAACAUCAGUGGCGAAAGCGGCUUCCGAUGGACCAGAACUGGACGAUCAGCACGAAAGCGUGGG